GCGAGUGUAACUCAGCGGCUAGAGUGUCAAGUUGUGGCCUUGAAAGUCAUGGGUUCAAAUCCCAUUAUUCGCC
rnacentral:tRNA from 1 species